AUGGAGCCCGCGAGGAUUUGGACCAACCCCAGUGCCACGUCCGGGCUUGUCACCGGUUACUUGUUGUCACCUUGCUGCCACGCCGGGAGCUGGAGAGGUGCCAGGGCCAGGCAGCCCUGUCCUGUCCCUCCUGUCCCUCAUCAGGACAUGCCUGGCCUGGCCCCGUCCCCCCGCAGCCCCUCUCCCCAAAUCUUCUUGGGGCUGGGGGGCUGGGGGGUGGGACUGGGGGUCCCCCCCUGCCUCGCUGUCCCCCGUCGCUCCGGCCCGGACUCGUCCCCCAGUCGUUUCUUCGUUCGUUUGUCCUGUCCGGUGCAUCCCAACCGGUCUCCUGUGUCCGUGCAGGGGGGGCGCCGUGUCCGUCCGUCUCGGCCGGCCCCGCUCCGUGUGUGCCCCCCCCAGCUCUCUGUUUGGCCGUGGCUGCGCCCUGCGGGGUCACCGUGUCCCGGUUUCGGAGAGGGACCAGCGGGGGGGUGGGGGGCCCGUUCCCCGGCCCCAUCUCCCGGCCCUCCCGCCGUCGGUAUGGGGGGGGGUCCCCCCCUUGCCUUUCAUAUACCUCAUGUUUUGGGGGUGUCUUGUAUGUGUGUACAUAGAGGUUGCGUCCUGCUGGGGGGGGGGGGCUGGUCGUGCUCCCCCCCCUUUGCCCCAAGGUCCCCCCCGUCCGACAAGAGCACCCAGGGGAUGGAGGGGGGGGCAGAGACCGCUGCUCCCCGACCCCCCCCAGCCCCGAAUCGCUCCCUAUGGGGUCGGCUCCUCCAGGUUUGCCCCCCCCCGGGUUGCGUUUCCCCCCGUGCCCGGGGGGCCGCGGGGGGCCGGCGAAGGGGGAUGGGGGGGGCACGUCUUGCUGUGAACCGUUGUGUCGUCGUCGCUGUCACCCCCCUCCCCGUGUGUGCGCGGUGCCGCCCCGCCGGAGGGGACAAUAAACGGCUGGCGGGGGACGCUCGCUGUCUCCGUCCCGUCCCUCGUCUUCUGUCCGUCUGUGUGGCCGGGCUGGUGGGGCGGGGGGGCGAUUUGUUCUACCUCGGGGGGGGGGGCAAACAACAACAACAACAACAAACAACAACAAUCUCUUUUCUCCAGGGAAACCCUCUUUUUUGGGCAGCUCUGCCGAAAAAGCAGAACUGGAGCUAUGCAAAACCCUUGCGAGCCCGGGGAGCGGGGUGGGGGGGGGACCAAGGCGGGGGUCCCCGGCCCCAGGUGCCGGAUCGACGCCUCCGCUACGACGCAGUCUUACUUUAA
rnacentral:lncRNA from 1 species